GGGUUGUGAGGUUAAGCGACUAAGCGUACACGGUGGAUGCCCUGGCAGUCAGAGGCGAUGAAGGACGUGCUAAUCUGCGAUAAGCGUCGGUAAGGUGAUAUGAACCGUUAUAACCGGCGAUUUCCGAAUGGGGAAACCCAGUGUGAUUCGUCACACUAUCAUUGCGUGAAUACAUAGCGUAAUGAAGCGAACCGGGGGAACUGAAACAUCUAAGUACCCCGAGGAAAAGAAAUCAACCGAGAUUCCCCCAGUAGCGGCGAGCGAACGGGGAGCAGCCCAGAGUCUGAAUCAGCUUGUGUGUUAGUGGAACGGUCUGGAAAGUCCGACGGUACAGGGUGAUAGUCCCGUACACCAAAAUGCACAGGUUGUGAACUCGAAGAGUAGGGCGGGACACGUGGUAUCCUGUCUGAAUAUGGGGGGACCAUCCUCCAAGGCUAAAUACUCCUGACUGACCGAUAGUGAACCAGUACCGUGAGGGAAAGGCGAAAAGAACCCCGGCGAGGGGAGUGAAAAAGAACCUGAAACCGUGU
rnacentral:rRNA from 1 species